rnacentral:rRNA from 1 species
UACGUAGGGUGCAAGCGUUAAUCGGAAUAACUGGGCGUAAAGGGUGCGCAGGCGGAUUUGCAAGACAGAUGUGAAAGCCCUGGGCUUAACCUGGGAACUGCAUUUGUGACUGCAAGUCUAGAGUAUGGCAGAGGGAGGUGGAAUUCCAUGUGUAGCAGUGAAAUGCAUAGAGAUAUGGAGGAACACCGAUGGCGAAGGCAGGUCUCUGGGCAUUAACUGACGCUGAGGAGCGAAAGCAUGGGGAGCGAACAGG